rnacentral:lncRNA from 1 species
ACGGCAUAAGGCUGCCUUUGCUGAAGGUUUUGAUUGAUAGGCUGCUGCAGGAUGGAAUAGAGGAGCUACUUAAUGUACUCAGCAGUACCAAGAAAACAAAGGAAGACACAGAAACUCACACCUCCAACGUCAUCACUGAGUACACAAGUUCAGUGGCGUUUGAUCUGACCAGCCAGCCGCUGGACACCAUUGAAGAGUCGGAUUUAGACCAGUUUCCAGAGUCAGUUGAUCCUUUGAAUGAGCCUGUAGAGGGUCCUACCUUAUGGACCAUCACGACACUGAAUAGAGAGCAUGGGCUCGACAGAACUGGGACCAAGUUAAAGGGAUCCAGAAGGAAGGACAUGAGCGGCAGUGAUGAAGCAUCUCCACUCAAAAUUAAUCAGACUCUAGUCAGUUCUACAUUCAAUUAUACUAAUACCCACGAGAUGCUUUCAGAGUUACCAGAAACAAUGGCAGAGACUCUUCUCCUCACCAAGGAAGACUCUUUGAAGAAGAAUCCAGGACAAAAGAAGAAUAACAGGGAGCGUGGGAAGACAAGUGGAGAGGAUAAGCAAGGACAAGAGGAAGAAGAGUUGUAUAAUGGCGAAGAAUACAGUUAUGAGUUUGAGUAUGAGGUAGGCAGCUCCUACAGCGAAUGACUAAUUCAUGCACUGUGGGAAACUUCAAUUUAAAGUGAUGAUUGGUGAUGUGGGGUUAUUAAAGUGUUGCGGCGUUGUUGUCAUGGAUGUCUUCUUGUUAACAGCCCUGUCAAACUCAUAAUCCAAUCACCUUUUUUAAAUCGCAGCAUCUCUAGGGACUAAAAUAUAUCUAUGCCCACACUAACCACAGAAGAGAGUUGAUUAAUGACACACCCACUACCUGAACUAAAUAUUAAGAAUAAAUUGGUUUGUCAUUGCGGCCCACUGCAUGUGUUCUGCACAUCAUCCACAGGAGUGUGUGGAGGUUUUGAGUGUUUUAAAGUUAGGAUCAAUUUAUUUUAUUAUUUUCAUUUUAUUUAUUUAUUUUUUUAAAUUUUUUAUGCAAACAGGAAGAACUUUUCCCAGAUGAUCCCUUCACCUCUAAGGAGAUCAGAGACAGCAGACAGGUAAAUUUGCUUCAAACAGCAUUCUCUCAUCUUUCAGUUGGACUGAGUAAAGUGUUAUAAUUCAUUUUUAAUGUAAAAUGUGUCCCAUGUUUUUAUCAUAUGCAGCUUGAAGUCCAAACAGAUGAAAUUCCCUAUCGAAUGGAUAAAAAG